rnacentral:rRNA from 1 species
GACGAACGCUGGCGGCGUGCCUAAUACAUGCAAGUAGAACGCUGAAGGAGGAGCUUGCUUCUCUGGAUGAGUUGCGAACGGGUGAGUAACGCGUAGGUAACCUGCCUGGUAGCGGGGGAUAACUAUUGGAAACGAUAGCUAAUACCGCAUAAGAGUAGAUGUUGCAUGACAUUUGCUUAAAAGGUGCAAUUGCAUCACUACCAGAUGGACCUGCGUUGUAUUAGCUAGUUGGUGGGGUAACGGCUUACCAAGGCGACGAUACAUAGCCGACCUGAGAGGGUGAUCGGCCACACUGGGACUGAGACACGGCCCAGACUCCUACGGGAGGCGGCAGUAGGGAAUCUUCGGCAAUGGACGGAAGUCUGACCGAGCAACGCCGCGUGAGUGAAGAAGGGUUUCGGAUCGUAAAGCUCUGUUGUAAGGGAAGAACGAGUGUGAGAGUGGAAAGUUCACACUGUGACGGUAUCUUACCAGAAAGGGACGGCUAACUACGUG